rnacentral:tRNA from 1 species
GCAGAUAUAGCCAAGCAGUAAGGCAAACGGCUGCAACCCGUUGAUCCUGGGUGCAAUUCCCAGUAUCUGCU